rnacentral:rRNA from 1 species
UACGUAGGGGGCAAGCGUUGUCCGGAUUUAUUGGGCGUAAAGAGCGUGUAGGCGGUUUGGUAGGUCCGCUGUGAAAACUCGAGGCUCAACCUCGAGACGCCGGUGGAAACCAUCAGACUAGAGUCCGGAAGAGGAGAGUGGAAUUCCUGGUGUAGCGGUGAAAUGACGCAGAUAUCAGGAGGAACACCGGUGGCGAAGGCGGGUCUCUGGGCCGAUAUUGACGCUGAGGAGCGAAAGCGUGGGGAGCGAACAGG